AGUAAGAUUAGAUCCGGGAUUUCCAUCCUAGAUCUAUUUAUAGAAUAUGUUUACUUAAAAAAAAACAUUCUUACAGAGAAAUGGAUCUUAUGAAGCCCAAAAAACUACUUGCACCAUAACAAUCUUGCAUGUGUCGAAACACAUAUUUGUUGGCGAAGAAGAUGAUGAUGAAAACGAUGAUAGUAGUGAUGUUCCCUGAAAAUUUCAGGUGGGUUCUUACACGCGGACAACAUAAACAUAUUUGUUUAAUGUAUGUUUAUAUGAUUAUCAGACGAGCAACCGCGCAUUUUUGCAGUCCCAUCCCCUAAAGCCUACACUGACUAAGAACCUAACGGGCGUAUACGUAUGGGACAAGAACGUCGCGAACAAACUGACGACGUUCGUUUUCAUUUCCUUCUGCUACAAGGCGACCAACAUUUGGCCCACGAGAGAGGACGCACAGAGUAUUGAUAGCAUCAACAAGGUGGACGUUGUAUCUGAAUGUGCAAACGUUUUACCGCGCAGAGUCAUAUUUGUACUAUUGAAGAUUGAUGGAAUGGAACCAAACUCAGGGCCAGGAAGUUCAGGUUCCGAUGGUACGACAGUCAGGGGCGAUAUUACACGCAACAAUGCGUAUCGGACAUUCCAGUCGCGUAUGGAUACAUUUGGCAACUGGCCUUUAUACUUAGUUCAGAGGCCAGGGCAAAUGGCAGAGGCAGGAUGGUUUUACAUGGGUAUUGACGACAACACUCGUUGCUUUGCAUGUGGCUGUACCUUGAUGAAUUGGGAACCAGAAGACGAUCCCUGGAAGGAACACUGUCGCUGGAGUCCGCAUUUUCCACAUGUUCGAGAGGUUAAAGGCGAUCACUUUAUGAACCAAAACCAACCGAUGCCAAAUCAUCCUGCUGCUGGCACUAGGUUGAACCAGGUUGAGUUUGAAGAUAUGGUUGUCGAAUGGCCUAUUUCCAACCCUAACACACGUACACAAUCCGAUGUGGAGGAGCCUCAAAAUACGAAUGUCAACAACAUCAAUUUUCCAGCAGAAGGUGUCCAGAAUCAUGAGCUUGUACAACAAGGUAGUUGUUAUAUAUAAUCCCUUUUUAAACGGUUAACACAUUUAUUUUAAGUAUACACAAUGGAAUUGCUCGAUAAAGGUAAAGCACAGUCAAAUUGCUUACUAUAUCUUAGGGCUUAAACUCGCUACUAAAUGUUAUGACACAAACGAAGCAUACAUUUUUGACAAACUGCAAUAUGCGGUAAAAGGACAAGGGGCCGUAUCCACGAAGAUCCUUAGGUAUUUUCUUAUUUUUUUUACUUAAAUUCAAUAAAUCACCUAAGGCAAGAGUUUCCCAUAAAUAUUUAUCCUAAAAAUUCCUUAGGAAAAAGAUUAGGUAAGUUUUUGUCUCGUGCAUUUGUUUCCUUCAAUGAAACAUAAUUCGCUUAAGGAGUGUCUUAAGUUUGUUGUUAAUGACAUCCCCGGGUUCCCUGACAUAAAAAUAGCAUCACGAUGACGUCGUCAUUAUAACAUACCACGAGAUUUAUCGGCGCACAAAAAUGGCGGUUGUCUUUGUCUAAAGAGAAUCGGUCGAAUUUCCGUAGCGUGUCACAAGGAGUUUUUAUGGAAUAUAUAAAGGGAGUAACUUUUAUUACAUGCAUACAAUGCUUGUGAAUUUAAGCAGCGUUAAAUGCCAUGUUUUAUUUGUAAUUCCCACUGUCGGCGUUUGGGUUUUUGGUGGAUCUUAAAAUAGCACUGAAGCGAAAUCGGAUGUUUAUAGCAGACUGCAGUUUGUCAAAACUGUCAAAAUGGAAGAAUAAAGGAAACGCAAUCCAAACUUUUCGCUACAAGAUUCCUUGCUUCUUACGCAAAUAAUGGGAGAGACGCAUCCCGACUUCAAAGAUAUUAACAUGUCUUUCCACAAGGUGGGUAAGGCUAGAUUCAGCAAUCGUACGAAUCAAAAUAUUGUUAUCAAGCUUUAGACACCAACCAGAGAAUCAUUUGCAUGACACUAAGUCUUCGAAAUUAGCUUUAAAUAGUUAUUUGCCAGGCUGGCCGGCUACUGGAGAAUUCACUACUUGUCUUAAAAUAGUUUUAUAUGUCCAAUUUUUUUCUCACAACAAAAGAAAAAUAAUUGUUUUCACACAUAUUCCUAUAACACUUAUUUAAGCUCUUUACUUAUUGGAAAAUCAGUGUUUCAACACACUAUUAGGUUGAAUAAUAAACUCUGCAAUUAAGAAGGAUCAGUUUCCAUUUGAACUUUUUUUGUCAUCUUACUAAAUAACCAGUUCAUGAUUUGAUGGGCAUUCAACGUGAAAUGUAGUAUUGGCCCAACAGUUUUUUAUAUGCUAUGGGCAUUCAACGUGAAAUUUAUUAUUGGCCCAACAGUUUUUUAUAUGCUAUGGGCAUUCAGGCAUGUGUUAUUUUUUCUGACUGUGAAAUGUCAGUGAGCAGAACGGUAAUAAUAUGCGAAUAUAGCCAUUGCAAUGCAUUAUUCACAAACUUUAAAUGAACAAUAAAAUAAAAAGAACAAAAAAAUAAUGUUUGAUUAAAAUAAGUGCAUAUUAUUGAAAAACGUGAGUUGCUAUAUGUUACAAUGAGUAAUAUGAAUCAAACCAUUGUUAAUCAAUAUAUUUCACAAACUACAGUAACUUGAGCAUUAUUCAUUUCAUGUACAUGUAAGUAAAUAAAGAAUAUAUGUAUGAUAUCAGGAAUCAGCAAAGCAACCAAGAAUAUACUUUGGGUGUCAGUUGCAGAAAAUUUCAAUGCCAGAGCCCAGCUCAGAAGGGAGCAAUCCAUUUUGGAGAAAAAAAUGGAAGAAUCUUCAAAGAGAUCACAGAAAUCUAUAUAUGGAUUAUCAAAGAGAUGCUCUUUGACAUGUACCUAAGAUAUUAAACUAAUUGUGUACCAUUUCAAUCAAUUGUCGGAAUGAAAUUUGUUGUUUUAUAUAUUGAGGAUAUUUGUUGGAUUCGGGGGAUUAUCGAUUUCAAUUCACGAGUGAUCAUAGAAAAUAAUAUUUUCACGAGUGUCGUAGCCACGAGUGAAAAUAUAUAUUUUCUAUGAUCACGAGUGAAUUAAAAUCGAUAUUUCACCGAAUCCAGCACAUUUUGUUUUUAAUUUAAUAUUUUUUUCACAGUUUAUAUACAUUGUAAAAGAUUUUAACUAAAGAAUGUCGUUGGAAUAAUGACGUCAUUUCGUCAAAAAAUGACGUCAUGUCACAAAAAACAGUGAAAAUUAUCGAUACUUUUCACUGAUAAUUUUCAUUGUUUGAAACAGUAAAAUUAUCAGUUUUAAUUCACUGAUAUUUCUCUAUAAACCACCGGAAAGCAUUAAAUAAAAAAAUAUAAUUUUGAAAAUUGACAUUUUUACAGGUAACAGGAAUAAAUUGUAAUUUUCUCAUGUAAGAAAUAGUUUUAAGCUAUUUUAAGUGUUCAUAUGCACAAAUAGACUGAUGAAAUAAAUUUAAUCUCACAGACCUGUUAAUAGCAUGAAAUUAUUUCAUUUCACCUGAUAAAGGUGUUUUAUAUAUAUAUAUAUAUAAGAAUGCAUUAAGGAAUAAAAUAGGUGUUUGUUUCCAUUAACAUCGCCAAAACAAUUAGGUAGGUAGGUCGCCGUAACUUUUAUAACUUUAAUCUUUACACGUUAUAUUACACUUUAAAAUGGUAAUUUCAAUGACCAAAGUCUUCCAAAUGUAUAUACCACAUUGCUUCUACAUAAUUAUGAGAUGCAACUAUCUUUAUUUUGAUAAAACAUUGCAGUCUAAAGAUUUUAAUAAUAACAUUAAACUAAUGUUUAAUGUAAACUUGACUUUUUCAAAUCGCAAAAAAGUUUAGUCGGCAGGGGUUAGUAGAAACAGCGACCUUUUUAAGGCCUAAUGUAUAACCAAAUAUGCUGAAAUAUAUUAAAUAGGGCGAUGUCCGAUAGGCUGAACAUUGUCUGUCCUCACAGAGGCAGUUAUUGAUGUGAUUGGGAGGCAGCGUGCGGCAGUUGUUGGGGCAGCAGGAGCAGCAUAUGACUCAACACUGGCCUCACUUAUGCAUUAAGAUUCAUAAAAAAGUAUAAUUCAAAAUAAGUUACUUCCCUAACUUUAUAGACUCAAUAUAUGGAUCAAUAUGGAAGAGGAAAAAUUCUGAAUAUACUGAUGAUUAUUUUUGAUUCAGUGUCAGAACAUGUUAUGUUGCAUGUAUGAAUGGUCAAGUUUAAAUUGACCAUUCAGACAUUGAAGCUACUUGGGAAGAUCUACUCCUGCCGAAGACCAAACCUAUUUUAUGUGGCGUCAUACAGUCGAACUUUUACACACUUCUGUACAGUGUUUUUUCAUCAACGUCUACAACCAUAGCUGAACACAAAACUGUAAUAUUGGGUUACUUUAACACUGAUGUUUGUGCCAAAAGCAGUGCUCUGCUGUCAGCUUUGAAUGUAUUUACUGACAUGUUUCAUUUUAAACAACUUAUAUGUGACUUUACUAGGGCCUGUAACACUGCAGCUACCACCAUUCAUCUUAUUUUAGUGUAUGAUAAGGAAAAGAUUUCUCAAUCUGGUGUUGUUGAUACGUGUAUUAGUGAUCAUUCUUUAAUUUAUUGUACCAGAAAAGUUCAUAAAUAAUUUAUUAACAAACAUAAUACUGUAACCAUUCGUUCUUUUAAAAAAAUAUAACAAGGAUGAUCUACAAGCUAACCUUUUAGCUACUGACUGGAGUUCUGUUAUGUUAUCUGAUAAUAUGUCUGAGGCUUGUCUCAAUUUUAAACACUUAUUGUUGUCUGUUGUUAAUAAUAUUACUCCUGUUAAAGAAGUACGGAUUAAGAAUAGAACUGAACACAUGAUUAAAGUGAUAUUAUGGACAUCUAACAGUUUAUAUGUGUCUAUCGCAACCGUUGUGUAUUUUUUGUGUUUUCACUUCAUAUACACUUAUAGUUGUUAAUGCAGCAUCAACAUACUAAAACAAUAUCACGGAAAGAGAAAAAUAAUGCAUUUGAAUAUCAAUCGUACUUUCGUUUGACAACUGAUGAUGCAUGUACGAUGUGAUACUAAAUUUAGUGUUAGUGCAGAUUCGUUCAUACGACAUAAAGACACAAUUUUGUUUUACCGAUCAUUUCGGCUUACGGGACUCACCAGUCACGUAAAAAAUCGAAUAUAAAAUAUAUUUUUACAAACAACUGGUAGCAAGAUGAGUUGCAGAUAAUUGGUCAGUAACCACAUUUUAACUAACUCUUUUGAGCAGUUAAUUCUUUUCAGCUCAAUUCAACAGUGAACAAAUGCCAAUACUGUCACUUUAGUUUAGAUAUUCUUGAAUCAAUAAAGCAACGUAAUACUGCUUUUAAUGUGUACAAGAGAAAAAUAAAACUGUAGAUCAUUUUAAUACUUUCAGUCAAUUGAGGAAUAAGGUACAGUCUCUUGUUGACAUAUCCAAGAAGAGAUUCUUUACUCAGUCUCUUGAGCAAAAAAAAAACGAUUCUAAGUCUCUGUGGAAGAUGUUAAAAAAUAUUGGUUUACUUUCCAAAAAAGUUCAUCAAGAUCAAACAUUGGUCAAAAGGUUGACAAUGAAAUAUGUUUUUGAUAAGAAGUCUGUAGCUGAAACUUUUAAUUGUUUAAUACAAGUGUAGCAUCAAAACUUGUUGACAAAUUGACCCAAAAUAGUAUAUGUAAAUUUGGAUCGGAUUUUGUUACAUCAUUUUAUGCCAAAAAAGGUGUAGUACCAAACAGCUUUUCCUUUUCUCUUGUUUCUGAGAACACAGUGUUAAAGUAUAUUUUACGGUUAGGAGUAAACAAAUCAACAGGUCUUGAUGGUAUUCCCUCUUGGUUUAUAAAAGAUGGUGCCCCAAUAAUUGACAGUCCCUUAGCCCAUAUCAUUAAUUUAUCCCUUAUCCAAGGCACUGUUCCUGAUGAUAUGACAUCUGCCAGAGUUGUCCCCCUUUUAAAGAAAGAUGAUAAAGCUGAUGUUGGUAACUAUAGACCAGUAUCUAUCCCCCUGUAGUAUAUACAAAUUUUUGAAAGAGUUGUCUAUGACCAGGUUAAGUCAUAUCUCAAAAGUAAUAAACUGCUCUUUAAAUUCCAAUCAGGUUUUAGAUGUGGGGUUUCCACGGACACUUGUUUAAUUCACUUGACAGAUUUCAUCCGUCUAGAAAUGGUAAAAGGUAAUCUAGUGGGUAGGAUUCUGUUAGAUCUACAAAAACCUUUUGACACUGUAGAUCACUCUAUCCUUAUCAUGAAACUUAAAGCCCUGGGUCUGGGGGAUGACAUUUUGAGUUGUCUUUCAUCGUACUUAUCUGAUAUACAACAACUUGUUGAUGUAUCAGGUACUUAAUCUACUAUGGCCAACAUUACAUGUGGGAUGCCUCAAGGUUCUAUUCUCAGCCCUCUCCUUUUCUAGAUCUGUGUCAAUGAUUUGUCGUCAGCAAUAAAGAAUAAACUUUUACUGUAUGCGGAUGAUUCUUGCAUUUUAGUUUCUGGUCAAAACAACUAUCAAAUAGAGCAAGCCUUUUCUCAGGAUCUUAAUGAAGUGAGCCAAUGAUUAAUUGACAACAAGUUAUCUCUUCACCUUGGUAAACCUGUAUCAAUUCUCUUUGGUACCAAACAUAAGCUAAUGUGAAAUCCUAAGUCAAAUAUAAUAUGUUAUGACACAUUUAUAGAACCUACAACUGCAGUCAAGUAUCUUGGGGCCAGUAUUGACCAGAAUUUAUAAUUGGUCAAUAUGGCUCAGUCUGUUGUAAAGAAAUUUAACUAUAGGUUAAAGUUUUUAAUCCUUAAUCCAGUGUCAUUUUGAAUAUAUGGUACAAUGGUCUUACACAGUUUUGGAAGAAUAAACUUCAGGUAACCCAAAAUAGUUUGAUCCGUUUUGUGCUCAAUCUUUAUUCUAGAACUCAUAUUAGCCCGGAACAUUAUACUUCUUUGUUAUGGUUGCCAGUUGACAAACGUGUCCAGCAAAUAAUGCUCUCCCAUGUUUUUAAGAUCAAAAAUGGUCUAUCUCCUGCUUACUUGUAAGACCAGUUUAUUCCCCAGAAAUAUGUCCAUUCCCAUUAUACCAGAUAAAGUAAUAAAGGGGCUUUCUCUUUACCAAAGGUCAAAGGAAAUGGGAAGAAGUCCUUCACUUACUUGGGUUGCAAAUUGUGGAAUAAACUACCAUCUUUAAGAACCCAGAUGACAGUAUUGUCCAGUUUUAAGUCUGCAAUAAAACAACAUAUUUUUAAAAGAGUAGUUUAAUCUGUCUUAAGUUGCUAUGCAAUGCUGAUAAUUUUUUACAUUUUCCUUUACCCAAUGUCUUAUCAUUUCGGAUUAAUAAUAUAUGCAUACUAAAUGUGACUUUGUAAUUAUUGCUUGUUGUAGAAACCUUUACAUUUUUAAUCCAUUCAAAUUUAAUAUUUGAUAAGACGAUCAUAAUUGAUACAUUUGUGUUCAUUGAUCUGAAUCUUAGUAUUAUAUUUCAUGUAUUUAUUAUUAUUAACACAGUAUUUAGUAUUAAUUAAUUACUUGUGCCUCUCUAUGUCGUGCCACCAAUAAAAAGGACCACAAUGAAAAUAAGGGAUAUUGUUUUUUUGUGUAAUCUUUGGCGUAAGUGUGCAUGCCAUAGUGCAUUCUAUGCAUGUACUUUACAAUUAUGAUUUUUUACUUCAUAUUGUUAUAUGUACAUGAUGUUUCAAUGCAUUGUGUGUAUGUUUGCUAUCUCCGAAAUAAAUCGAUCUAUCAACGAAUAUUAUUAAAGUUUGCUUAAUGUAUAAAAACACUUAAUUUAUUCGAACUCAAUUAACGCUUUAACACUUAUUCCCAGGACAUUUCGAAAAUCAAGCAUCGCCAACAACUGAUAACAUAAGAAUCGUAAUCAGGCUAUCGUCGGACCCAUGCCUGACCCGCAUAAUUUAUUGGUCACGCAAUAUUAAAAUUAAAAACAUAAACUUCGGGGAUUCGAUAAUUAGAAUAUAUCUGAGCAUUUAACCAAGCAUUAUUCAUAUUCUUUAUUGUUUACUUAACAUUGUUCAAGACUUGUUUCUAAUUUCUAAAUAAUGAUCUUGUUAGCGUCGAUUUUGGUUCGUUGGCAUUUUAUUAGUGUAUCAAGGAGACUUUCACUAUACAUUUUACAAUUACCAGUCUAUGGAAUAUACGAGGAUACUGUGGUAAGUUUGUGUCUUUUCAGACAACAAUGAUACAGAAACAGUUGACGCUUGUAUGCAUGACGUGCUGGAGAGACCUAAUGUAGUUUUCCCCGAGCUAGUCCAACGAGGUGCCGCUUAAUAUCGAUACUAACCAGUUUCUAGAGGAUAUCCCAUCCUUCGUUGAAGCAUACUCAUGUGGGUCUUUUGUGCCAGAAAUACAGGUGAACACAUGCGAAUCUACGCUCCUCACAUGCCAAGUAUUGCUUGGAUUGAACGCAAGACAGCGAUACAUGCCCAGGUUCUUGCAGACCGAUAAUGGAAUUGAUUCUCACACAUUAAGGAUGGACAAACAGAUGAUGCAAUAAGCAUGUUAUGUGCAGCAGAAUAUAUAAGAUUAUUCUGGCUGAAUAAGCUCUAUAUAGCUAGACAGAAACGCAUAAACCAACAAGUAAAAUAUUGACAUAUGUGUUUGCUCGCGAUACAUUAACUAAAGCAUCAGGUAUAAGAAUGAAUUGCAUCUCUGUGCAUAUGACGGCAUUUUUGAUACAGUGUUUACGUUCAUUUCAUAUUUGUCUUUAUGAUAUCAAAUAAGCCGGUUGUACAAAAGCUGAUUUUGGUAUAGCCACAUGUUUACCUCCGUAACAGAAACGAUCUCUUCCAUAAAAUCAUCGUUCGCAAAAUGUUCAAGUUAGGUGUACGGGUAUAGAUUCAGGAAACGUCCGCUCCUUUGGCGACGAUUGAUCUUUUAUUUCCCGUUGGGAUGUGCCAAUAUUCAAAUUCGCGUCUUUCUAAAGCUCACUCACCAAAGACAUUCAACACAUCCAGUUGAUUUCUUUUAUGUAUGGGAAUUGUACUAAAAACUAUUGAAAUUGACGAGUGUCUAAUUAUGAAUUUAAUAGCCUCUGAACACACGAUAGUGUGUAAUGAGUAUUUACUUAAACUCUUAGGAGCCAAAUAAAUAUACUUGCCAAAUGUAUGCUUCCACAUCUGUUACUGAUUUUGAAAUUACCAAACGAUAUAAGCCAAUAAUUGCCAGUGGACAUCACGUGUAAAGCGAUUCAAAUAUUUUAAACGAAAGCGCACGUGCGUUUUGUAUGUGCUUUUGUAAUUAGCAUAUAUAUAUAUGUGGGGUGUGUGUGUGUAUGUGUCUCUUAACAAUCUGCAUUCUUUGACCAGGUAUCUCAACAAGGGAAACCUGCCUGUUGGAUCUAUAUCGUUAUGCUUAUAAUCUUGAUAUAGUAAAUGGCAUUGAAGAGCUGCUUACAAUUACAUGACGUUAUUCAUUGGUUACACAUGACUUUCCCAUGUUAAAUUUAAUAUAACCAUUCCUGCAUAAUUUUGAAUAGUCCAUAUCGUUGGAAUGUUAUAUAUACCGAUAGGACUAUACUUGUUUUAUCAUGACGCUAUUUAUUGAUUACACAUGACUUUUCCAUGUUAAAUUGCCAUACAACCAUCCCUGCAUAAUUUUAAAUAUACUAUAUCGUUGGAAUGUAAUAUAUCCAGAUAGGGCUAUACUUGAUUUAACAUGACGCCAUUUAUUGGUUACACAUGACUUUCCGAUGUUAAAUUUCCAUAUAACCAUCCCGGAAUAAUUUUGAAUAUACCAUAUCGUUGGAAUGUAAUAUAUCCUGAUAGGGCUGUACUUGUUAAUGUAUGAUGCAAAGAAUAUACACAAUCAAUGUUGGUGAGCGGUUUAUUUUCAUACAACAUUUGCACGUUCCACUUGUGUUGUUACUUUAAGUACAUAAUGUGUGUUCAGUAUGGUAACAUAAAUAUCAUAGAGAUCUUUCGGGGUAUAUUCGAUAUUGGUCCCUCGAAGAGUAAUGUCAAUCUCGUCCCUUGGCUUUGGUUGAAAUUACUCUACUCGGGUGCUUUAUUUGCUUUACCCCUCAAUUGUCUAUGACAUUUAUAUAUCUUAUACUACAAGCGUCUGAUGCAUAUACUUUGCUUCACAAAUACAUGAAUAGAAUCUUGAUUUCUGAUUGUUAUGAGAUUACAUCGGAUAGUGUAACUUGUUACACCUCUGCUACACAGAGCUGUUACAUUAAAAAAAUCAAAGAGUACAGAAUGCCACUAUUUUACAAUACAACCAUUUUUGUAAUUAGUACGGUGUAUACGUCGGUUUCCCAUUUUGUGUUUUUCAUUUUAUGUUUCUUUAUUUUAAAGUUUUUAAUUUGUAUACACGAUUGGUGAAAGAAAUACGCAAUAUGUUACUGUUAACACAUACUCCAUAUAACUUUAAACAAUGCAUUGUAUUAUUUAUAAUCAUGCUGAUAUAUAUGUAUAUUCGGCGUGUUAGCGUUAUUUUAUUUUUUAAAUAUCCUCAUUUCUUGGUGGAUUCAUAUUACAUUAAUGUGAACAAUAAUAUGUGUAACUUGUAUUAUACCAUUUUAAAGAGUAGCAUAGCGUCAUGCGUUUAAUUCUACUGGAUAUGUGCUGUCUUUUAAUGCUCAAUAUCAAUACAGUAUGCGAUGAGUGGUAAUUGACCGAUGUUUUUACAUCUGUACUGAAUAUUGGAUUGUUUUGUUUGACUGUGUUUAAAUGUAGCUUUUAAAACUGCAUUUCAAGUUAAUUUUACGGAGUUUAUAAAACAAAAAGUGAUAGUGCAGAAGAAAAUAUAUAUAUUUUAUUCAUGCCUAAAUAGUUUUGUUAUCCUAUUGUUGUUCCUUUGACUGAGAUUGUUGUUUAGGUUGUUAUAUUUACCACUGUUUUUCAAGUUGGAUCGCAUACUAUCUUUGUAUAAUUAAUGUCAUGUUUUUUGGUGUUUUUUGUAUCGCAAAUAUUUUGUUUUUACCUGAAUUGUAUGUGUUAUGUACCACUCAUUUAUUGUUGUUAAUUGCAUAUUGCAUACAGUGAUAAAAUGCGGACUUGUUUGAUUGUUUACCAUUUUUACACAUUUUUGCCAUGAAUUAUACUUAAACACCUGUAUCAAUCAAGAUUUAAAGAAAUCUUUUUUUGAAUCUUAUCUUAAAGCUAACAAAUAUCCGAUCAUAUCCAAUAAAUAAAAUAAUCGCAACCACUUUAACUUAGUAAGCCUUACGACUUUAUAUUGUUUCGUUUUGGAUAAACAGUAUGAACAAGGAGUUAAUAUACUACAGUUGAAGUGGUUGCGAUUAUUUUAUUUAUUGGAUAUGAUCGGACAUUUGUUAGCUUUAAGACUGCCUAUUGUAUUGAAAAGGAAGUCUAUAAUAGGACAUAAACAAACACAUGUGAUUGCUAUAAAGACUAGUAUGAUCCAUUAACUGUUACUUGUCGUACAUGCAACGUUAUACAAAUCUUAGAAAUAUUACUCAUUACCAUGGUAAAGAAUUAAUUUUUCUUAUUUUCGUAAAACCUCUUUGAAAUAAAAGAUAAUUUAACAAAAUAUACAUAUAAGAUUGCAUUGAACACUCUGUAAAACAUCAAAUACCCAUUGAUAUCCUGUCAUUAAAAUUAUAAAAUUACAGUUAUUCAAUUUGUUUGUCAAUAGUAAAUUCAGAAAUUGAGAGUCUAUGUUGUUUUGGUUAAUCUUCUACAAUUAUCUCUGCAAUUAUUUAUUCAAUAUAUGCAAACAUGCAAACAAUGGCCAAGCUCCUUACAUAAAUUUGAUUAACGCAUGUGAUGUUUCUAAGAAAAUAUGGUAUUUAUGCAUUAAUUUAUUAUAUGUUUUCUAUUUUUUAUAUUUAAUAAUAUACUGUUGUCUGUUGAUACAAAUGUCAUUUUCUGAUGUUCAUAUUAAAAAAGUCAGAUACGC